rnacentral:telomerase_RNA from 1 species
UCGAGCGGCGGGUUUGUCCGUCCUGGUUCUUCUAACCCUAAAUUCGUGCAGACGGUGGAGGCUCCUCCUGGGUGGCGCUCGCUGUUUUGGUGGCUGACUUUCAGCGGGCAGGAGGAGUCGGAGCGGAGCCGGAGAUAUGCGUAAAAAACGUCAGCCGAGGUCGGGCGGCCCCGCUCGUGGCCCGUCCGCCCCGUCCGGGCUCGGCCCCGGCCCGAAUCCCCUGGGAACGCCCCCCGCCGGCCCGCGCUAGCCCUCGGAGCCCCAGCUGCCCGCGAACAGAGGCGGCGGCCGUCUCGGGGCCCCUGCGUGCAGGAGCACCCACUGCGGUCGCCAAGAGUUGGGCUCUGUCAGCCUCUGGGUGCUCGGGGUGCCGGGGGCACGCCCCAAGGCCAGGCGUGGGGCGGGGGCGCAGGGAGAGUAAACCUGAGCAACCCCCUGCUGGGCACUCCCUCGAGUCAUGGGAAUUGCCCCUGGGCACAGCUCACACACCC